rnacentral:misc_RNA from 1 species
GGAAUGCAAAAUGUCGGCCUUCUUGACCCUGAGUCAAAAGUGUACAACUUCUUAUCCAUACCAACACUAGCAACAAUCUUGUCGUUUGUUGGUGAGAAACUAAUGCCAGAAGUUGGUGCAGAAUGCUGCUUUAGCCAAGAAACCUUGGGGCUGCGACCAGUUGUAUCCCACAGGUGGAUAGAUCCAUCAUCACCAGCUGUCACCAAUAAAUGCCUGCUAAUCUUAGAAUAAUCAAGCACUCUCAAAACCUGCGCAUUUGGAUCCUUGAG